rnacentral:rRNA from 1 species
AGCCCUGAGAUGAGUCUUCCCUGAUACUUUAAGUAUCCUAAAGGGUUGUUCGAGACUAGAACGUUGAUAGGCAGGGUGUGUAAGCGUUGUGAGGCGUUGAGCUAACCUGUACUAAUUGCCCGUGAGGCUUAACCAU